GCAGUCGAACGCGUUGGCCCAACUGAUUGAACGUGCUUGCACGGACUUGACGUUGGUUUACCAGCGAGUGGCGGACGGGUGAGUAACACGUAGGUAACCUGCCCCAAAGCGGGGGAUAACAUUUGGAAACAGAUGCUAAUACCGCAUAACAAUUUGAAUCGCAUGAUUCAAAUUUAAAAGAUGGCUUCGGCUAUCACUUUGGGAUGGACCUGCGGCGCAUUAGCUUGUUGGUAGGGUAACGGCCUACCAAGGCUGUGAUGCGUAGCCGAGUUGAGAGACUGAUCGGCCACAAUGGAACUGAGACACGGUCCAUACUCCUACGGGAGGCAGCAGUAGGGAAUCUUCCACAAUGGGCGCAAGCCUGAUGGAGCAACACCGCGUGAGUGAAGAAGGGUUUCGGCUCGUAAAGCUCUGUUGUUAGAGAAGAACGUGCGUGAGAGCAACUGUUCACGCAGUGACGGUAUCUAACCAGAAAGUCACGGCUAACUACGUGCCAGCAGCCGCGGUAAUACGUAGGUGGCAAGCGUUAUCCGGAUUUAUUGGGCGUAAAGCGAGCGCAGGCGGUUUGAUAAGUCUGAUGUGAAAGCCUUUGGCUUAACCAAAGAAGUGCAUCGGAAACUGUCAGACUUGAGUGCA
rnacentral:rRNA from 2 species